GGGCCGGUAGCUCAGCUGGUAGAGCAGCGGACUUUUAAUCCGUUGGUCGUGGGUUCGACUCCCACCCGGCUCA
rnacentral:tRNA from 2 species